rnacentral:rRNA from 1 species
UACGUAGGGUGCAAGCGUUGUCCGGAAUUAUUGGGCGUAAAGAGCUCGUAGGCGGUCUGUCGCGUCUGCUGUGAAAACUCGGGGCUUAACCCCGGGCCUGCAGUCGAUACGGGCAGGCUAGAGUUCGGUAGGGGAGACUGGAAUUCCUGGUGUAGCGGUGAAAUGCGCAGAUAUCAGGAGGAACACCGGUGGCGAAGGCGGGUCUCUGGGCCGAUACUGACGCUGAGGAGCGAAAGCGUGGGGAGCGAACAGG